rnacentral:rRNA from 1 species
GACGAACGCUGGCGGCGUGCUUAACACAUGCAAGUCGAACGGAAAGGCCCUGCUUUUGUGGGGUGCUCGAGUGGCGAACGGGUGAGUAACACGUGAGUAACCUGCCCUUGACUUUGGGAUAACUUCAGGAAACUGGGGCUAAUACCGGAUAGGAGCUCCUGCUGCAUGGUGGGGGUUGGAAAGUUUCGGCGGUUGGGGAUGGACUCGCGGCUUAUCAGCUUGUUGGUGGGGUAGUGGCUUACCAAGGCUUUGACGGGUAGCCGGCCUGAGAGGGUGACCGGCCACAUUGGGACGGGGGUACGGCCCAGACCCCCACGGGAGGCAGGGGGGGGGAAUUUUGCACAAUGGGGGGAGGCCUGAUGCAGCAACGCCGGGGGGGGGAUGGGGGCCUUCGGGUGGUAAACCGCUUUCGCCUGGGACGAAGGGGGGGUGACGGUAAUGGGGAAAGAAGCACCGGCUAACUACGU